AUUUUGUUUUUUAUUUUUCAAUUGACAUAUAAUAAUUGCACAUAUUUAUGGGGUAGUGAUGUCUCAAUACAUAUAAUGUAUACUUAUCAUUAGCAUAUCCAUCAUCUCAAACAUUUAUUAUUUCUUUGUGUUGGGAACAUUCAACACAAAUCUAAAUCUUUGUCAGUUAAUCAGGCAUCUGGGAUCGCUCACAAAUUAUCAUGUUAGGAAUACAUUCAGAUAUCCUUUAUUAAGACAGAACUAGAGGCUGGGCAUCACCGUGGCCCAUGCCUAUAAUCCCAGCACUUCGGGAGGUCGAGGAGGAUUGCUUGAGCCCAGGAGUUCAAGACCAGCCUAGGCAACACAGUGAGACCCCCAUCUCUUCCAAAAAAAGAAAAAAAAAACUAGCUGAAUUUUCAUAUUUGAAUAUAACUACAGUAGGUAAAAGUUUAAGAAAGGGAAAAUUGACAUUAUUAAUACAAUAAAGAUAUUGUUUUCUCGACCUACUGUCUUCUACAUCAGGGGUUGGAGAGGAAUAAUUUUUAGAUUUGUAAACAGUUUUUUGUUUUUUUUUUUAAGACAGAGUCUCACUCUUGUUGCCCAGGCUGGAGCACAGUGGCACGAUCUCAGCUCACCGAAACCUCCACCUCCCGGGUUCAAGCGAUUCUCCAGCCUCAGCUUCCCGAGUAGCUGGGAUUACAGGCGCCCGCCACCAUGCCUGGAUAAUUUUUGUAUUUUUAGUAGAGAUGGGGUUUCACCAUGUUGGCCAGGCUGGUCUUGAACUCCCGAUUUCGUGAUCUGCCCGCCUCAGCCUCCCAAAGUGCUGGGAUUAUAGGCAAGAGCCACCGCGCUCGGCCUGUAAACAAUUCUAAAAAAUCAAAAGAAUUGUAUUUCACGUUAUGUGAAAAUUAUACGCAAGUCAAAUUUCGUGUCCAUAAUAUGGUUUUACUGGAAUACUGUCAUUCAUUUCCAUCUCUGUGUCUGCUUUUGCAACACAGGAAAAAGCUAAACAGGUGUGACUGAGACCCUAUUGCCAAGAAGGCCUAACAUAUUUACUAUCUGGACUUUACAGAAAAAAACUUGUCAACACUUUCUUUACAAUGUGGAGUCGGCACAGAAAAUAUGUGCCUUCAGAAAAAGAGCGAAAAAAAAGAGAAAAAAAAUCUCUGAAACUCAUUAAUACAUUAACUUUGUAAUUAACUUCAUGGCCAUUAACUUUGGUAAUAAAAGGUUGCUGAUCCCGUCUGCCCAAGCAACACAGACCACAAUUUCUACUUUUGAUGAUUCAUGUAUUAUUUUCACAGACUUCUGAUCACUUGUUUUCUUUUUAUUAUUUAUUUAUUUUGAGACGGGGUCUGGCUCUGUCGCCCAGGCUGGAGGGCAAUGGCGCGAUCUCAGCUCUCUGCAAACUCCGCCUCCCGGGUUCAAGCGAUUCUUGUGCCUCAGCCUCCUGAGUAGCUGGGAUUACAGAGACCGCCACCACGCCCGGCUAAUUUUUUGUAUUUUUAGUAGAAACGGGGUUUCACCAUGUUGGCCAGGCUGGUCUAGAACUCCGCCUCUGCCUCCCAAAGUGCUGAGAUUAUAGGCGUGAGUCACCGCGCCAAGAUAUCUUCUAUUUGGGAACAUUUUGUUGUCAAGUAUCCAGCUGGGUACUUCGGGAGUUAAAAACAUUAAUUAAGGCAUGGUCCUGGAGUCAAGUGAGCUUCGGCGAGAAGUUUGCCAUGGACAGCAUUUCUGGAGCAAACCCUGUAAGAAGGGCUGAAUUCUACAUGCCGACAUUUCAUACAUUUCUCCUGCAUUUCAGGUUGUAAGUGUGCUGCAGCAUGACUGAUCUGGCCAAAUUCUUCCAGUUUCCUCAAGUGCUUUUCCUUUAGUAUCGUUCUGAGUGUUUACAAAGAAAUGAUUUUCCAAAGCACUUGUGAAGCAUCUAGUUCGAUUGGAACGCAGUGACGGCUCUAUAAAAUUCAAAGAAAAGAAUCUCCCCGCAUGAAUAGUUAACAAAAAUCGCUUGGGCCGAGGUGGCGGGGUUGUAAAAAUUAGCUAGUUAUAUAGUAAUCAUUUUUCCAUAAAUUUAAAUAUCUCUAAUUAAAGAAAAAAUUGACGUAGAACAAAAUCUGCGGGUGUGUGUGUGUGUGUCUCGGAGGGGAUUACCUUAUCUCCCAGCGCGGUUCUGAACCCUUCCUUCGCUCAGUUCUCCCUUUAAAAGUCGCCAAGUGGAACGCCCGCCCCCGGACCCGCACUUGCCC
rnacentral:lncRNA from 10 species